rnacentral:rRNA from 1 species
AUUGAACGCUGGCGGCAGGCCUAACACAUGCAAGUCGAGCGGAUGAAGGGAGCUUGCUCCUGGAUUCAGCGGCGGACGGGUGAGUAAUGCCUAGGAAUCUGCCUGGUAGUGGGGGAUAACGUCCGGAAACGGGCGCUAAUACCGCAUACGUCCUGAGGGAGAAAGUGGGGGAUCUUCGGACCUCACGCUAUCAGAUGAGCCUAGGUCGGAUUAGCUAGUUGGUGGGGUAAAGGCCUACCAAGGCGACGAUCCGUAACUGGUCUGAGAGGAUGAUCAGUCACACUGGAACUGAGACACGGUCCAGACUCCUACGGGAGGCAGCAGUGGGGAAUAUUGGACAAUGGGCGAAAGCCUGAUCCAGCCAUGCCGCGUGUGUGAAGAAGGUCUUCGGAUUGUAAAGCACUUUAAGUUGGGAGGAAGGGCAGUAAGUUAAUACCUUGCUGUUUUGACGUUACCAACAGAAUAAGCACCGGCUAACUUCGUGCCAGCAGCCGCGGUAAUACGAAGGGUGCAAGCGUUAAUCGGAAUUACUGGGCGUAAAGCGCGCGUAGGUGGUUCAGCAAGUUGGAUGUGAAAUCCCCGGGCUCAACCUGGGAACUGCAUCCAAAACUACUGAGCUAGAGUACGGUAGAGGGUGGUGGAAUUUCCUGUGUAGCGGUGAAAUGCGUAGAUAUAGGAAGGAACACCAGUGGCGAAGGCGACCACCUGGACUGAUACUGACACUGAGGUGCGAAAGCGUGGGGAGCAAACAGGAUUAGAUACCCUGGUAGUCCACGCCGUAAACGAUGUCGACUAGCCGUUGGGAUCCUUGAGAUCUUAGUGGCGCAGCUAACGCGAUAAGUCGACCGCCUGGGGAGUACGGCCGCAAGGUUAAAACUCAAAUGAAUUGACGGGGGCCCGCACAAGCGGUGGAGCAUGUGGUUUAAUUCGAAGCAACGCGAAGAACCUUACCUGGCCUUGACAUGCUGAGAACUUUCCAGAGAUGGAUUGGUGCCUUCGGGAACUCAGACACAGGUGCUGCAUGGCUGUCGUCAGCUCGUGUCGUGAGAUGUUGGGUUAAGUCCCGUAACGAGCGCAACCCUUGUCCUUAGUUACCAGCACCUCGGGUGGGCACUCUAAGGAGACUGCCGGUGACAAACCGGAGGAAGGUGGGGAUGACGUCAAGUCAUCAUGGCCCUUACGGCCAGGGCUACACACGUGCUACAAUGGUCGGUACAAAGGGUUGCCAAGCCGCGAGGUGGAGCUAAUCCCAUAAAACCGAUCGUAGUCCGGAUCGCAGUCUGCAACUCGACUGCGUGAAGUCGGAAUCGCUAGUAAUCGUGAAUCAGAAUGUCACGGUGAAUACGUUCCCGGGCCUUGUACACACCGCCCGUCACACCAUGGGAGUGGGUUGCUCCAGAAGUAGCUAGUCUAACCGCAAGGGGGACGGUUACCACGGAGUGAUUCAUGACUGGGGUGAAGUCGUAACAAGGUAGCCGUAGGGGAACCUGCGGCUGGAUCACCUCCUUAAUCGAAGAUCCCGGCUUCUUCAUAAGCUCCCACACGAAUUGCUUGAUUCACUGGUUAGACGAUUGGGUCUGUAGCUCAGUUGGUUAGAGCGCACCCCUGAUAAGGGUGAGGUCGGCAGUUCGAAUCUGCCCAGACCCACCAAUUGUUGGUGUGCUGCGUGAUCCGAUACGGGGCCAUAGCUCAGCUGGGAGAGCGCCUGCUUUGCACGCAGGAGGUCAGGAGUUCGAUCCUCCUUGGCUCCACCAUCUAAAACAAUCGUCGAAAGCUCAGAAAUGAAUGUUCGUGAAUGAACAUUGAUUUCUGGUCUUUGCACCAGAACUGUUCUUUAAAAAUUCGGGUAUGUGAUAGAAGUAAGACUGAAUGAUCUCUUUCACUGGUGAUCAUUCAAGUCAAGGUAAAAUUUGCGAGUUCAAGCGCGAAUUUUCGGCGAAUGUCGUCUUCACAGUAUAACCAGAUUGCUUGGGGUUAUAUGGUCAAGUGAAGAAGCGCAUACGGUGGAUGCCUUGGCAGUCAGAGGCGAUGAAAGACGUGGUAGCCUGCGAAAAGCUUCGGGGAGUCGGCAAACAGACUUUGAUCCGGAGAUCUCUGAAUGGGGGAACCCACCUAGGAUAACCUAGGUAUCUUGUACUGAAUCCAUAGGUGCAAGAGGCGAACCAGGGGAACUGAAACAUCUAAGUACCCUGAGGAAAAGAAAUCAACCGAGAUUCCCUUAGUAGUGGCGAGCGAACGGGGAUUAGCCCUUAAGCUUCAUUGAUUUUAGCGGAACGCUCUGGAAAGUGCGGCCAUAGUGGGUGAUAGCCCCGUACGCGAAAGGAUCUUUGAAGUGAAAUCGAGUAGGACGGAGCACGAGAAACUUUGUCUGAACAUGGGGGGACCAUCCUCCAAGGCUAAAUACUACUGACUGACCGAUAGUGAACC